rnacentral:rRNA from 1 species
AACGAACGCUGGCGGCAUGCCUAACACAUGCAAGUCGAACGAUUGCCUUCGGGUGAUAGUGGCGCACGGGUGCGUAACGCGUGGGAAUCUGCCCUUAGGUUCGGAAUAACAGCUGGAAACGGCUGCUAAUACCGGAUGAUAUCGCGAGAUCAAAGAUUUAUCGCCUGAGGAUGAGCCCGCGUUGGUUUAGGUAGUUGGUGGGGUAAAGGCCUACCAAGCCGACGAUCCAUAGCUGGUCUGAGAGGAUGAUCAGCCACACUGGGACUGAGACACGGCCCAGACUCCUACGGGAGGCAGCAGUGGGGAAUAUUGGACAAUGGGCGCAAGCCUGAUCCAGCAAUGCCGCGUGAGUGAUGAAGGCCCUAGGGUUGUAAAGCUCUUUUACCCGGGAAGAUAAUGACUGUACCGGGAGAAUAAGCCCCGGCUAACUCCGUG